rnacentral:rRNA from 1 species
GGUGGGAGUGGCAGACGGGUGAGUAACACUUGGGAACGUACCCUUUGGUUCGGGACAACUCUGGGAAACUGGAGCUAAUACCGGAUACGCCCUUUUGGGGAAAGGUUUACUGCCGAAGGAUCGGCCCGCGUCUGAUUAGCUAGUUGGUGGGGUAACGGCCUACCAAGGCGACGAUCAGUAGCUGGUCUGAGAGGAUGAUCAGCCACACUGGGACUGAGACACGGCCCAGACUCCUACGGGAGGCAGCAGUGGGGAAUAUUGGACAAUGGGCGCAAGCCUGAUCCAGCCAUGCCGCGUGAGUGAUGAAGGCCUUAGGGUCGUAAAGCUCUUUUAUCCGGGACGAUAAUGACGGUACCGGAGGAAUAAGCCCCGGCUAACUUCGUGCCAGCAGCCGCGGUAAUACGAAGGGGGCUAGCGUUGCUCGGAAUCACUGGGCGUAAAGGGCGCGUAGGCGGCGUUUUAAGUCGGGGGUGAAAGCCUGUGGCUCAACCACAGAAUGGCCUUCGAUACUGGGACGCUUGAGUCUGGUAGAGGUUGGUGGAACUGCGAGUGUAGAGGUGAAAUUCGUAGAUAUUCGCAAGAACACCGGUGGCGAAGGCGGCCAACUGGACCGGCACUGACG